rnacentral:rRNA from 1 species
UGCGGCGGAUUAGGUAGUUGGUGGGGUAACGGCCCACCAAGCCUAAGAUCCGUACGGGCUGUGGGAGCAGGAGCCCGGAGAUGGACCCUGAGACAAGGGUCCAGGCCCUACGGGGCGCAGCAGGCGCGAAACCUCCGCAAUGCGGGAAACCGCGACGGGGUUAGCCGGAGUGCCCGUGCAUUGCACGGGCUGUCGGGGUGCCUAAACAGCACCCCAUAGCAAGGGCCGGGCAAGGCCGGUGGCAGCCGCCGCGGUAAGACCGGCGGCCCGAGUGGCGGCCACUCUUAUUGGGCCUAAAGCGUCCGUAGCCGGCCCAGUAAGUCCCCCGGGAAAUCUGGUCGCUUAACGAUCAGACUUCCGGGGGAUACUGCUGGGCUAGGGACCGGGAGAGGCCGAGGGUAUUCCCGGGGUAGGGGUGAAAUCCUGUAAUCCCGGGAGGACCACCUGUGGCGAAGGCGCUCGGCUGGAACGGGUCCGACGGUGAGGGACGAAGGCCUGGGGAGCGAACCGGAUUAGAUACCCGGGUAGUCCAGGCUGUAAACGAUGCGGGCUAGGUGUCACCGGAGCUACGAGCUCCGGUGGUGCCGGAGGGAAGCCGUUAAGCCCGCCGCCUGGGAAGUACGGCCGCAAGGCUGAAACUCAAAGGAAUUGACGG